CGGACAAGUGCAGCAGCUGCGACUGCCCUGACAAGAGCCAGUGUCAGAAGAAGGGAAACAGCCUGGUCAUUGCUGAGACUGGGAAAA